CCAAUAGCGUAUAUUAAAGUUGUUGCAGUUAAAAAGCUCGUAGUUGGAUUUCUGAUCGAGACAUCAGGUCGGGUCCGAGAGGAUCAUGUACUUUGAUUUUGUUUUGAUCAUCCUUGGGGAGAGCAUUUCUGGCAUUCAGUUGUCGGGAUUGGGAUCCUCAUCGUUUACUGUGAAAAAAUUAGAGUGUUCAAAGCAGGCCUCGGCCUCUGAAUACAUUAGCAUGGAAUAAUAAGAUAGGACUUUGGUGGUCUAUUUUGUUGGUUUGCACGCCAAAGUAAUGAUUAAUAGGGAUAGUUGGGGGUAUUCGUAUUCAAUUGUCAGAGGUGAAAUUCUUGGAUUUAUGGAAGACGAACUACUGCGAAAGCAUUUACCAAGGAUGUUUUCAUUAA
rnacentral:rRNA from 1 species